GGAUUAGAAACCCGGGUAGUCCAUGCCGUAAACGUUGGGAACUAGAUGUGGGGACCAUUCCACGGUCUCCGUGUCGCAGCUAACGCAUUAAGUUCCCCGCCUGGGGAGUACGGCCGCAAGGCUAAAACUCAAAGGAAUUGACGGGGGCCCGCACAAGCGGCGGAGCAUGCGGAUUAAUUCGAUGCAACGCGAAGAACCUUACCAAGGCUUGACAUAUACCGGAAAAGGCUGGAAACAGUCUCCCCGCAAGGUCGGUAUACAGGUGGUGCAUGGUUGUCGUCAGCUCGUGUCGUGAGAUGUUGGGUUAAGUCCCGCAACGAGCGCAACCCUCGUCUUAUGUUGCCAGCACGUUAUGGUGGGAACUCAUAAGAGACUGCCGGGGUCAACUCGGAGG
rnacentral:rRNA from 1 species